CGCGGGGUGGAGCAGUCCGGCAGCUCAUCGGGCUCAUAACCCGAAGGUCACAGGUUCAAAUCCUGUCCCCGCAACCA
rnacentral:tRNA from 1 species